CAUACACACACUGCAUUCAUACAAACACACUGCAUUAUAUACACACACACUGCAUUCAUUAUAUACACACACUGUAAAUAAAUAUUCAAUUAAUAUAAUUUUUUGGGGAUCUCAUUUUAUUUAGAAAUUUACCAGUAGCUGCUGCAUUUCCCACCCUAGUCUUAUACUCGAGUCGAUAAGUUUUUCCAGUUUUUUGGGGUAAAAUUAGGGGUCUCGACUUAUAUUUGGG